rnacentral:lncRNA from 1 species
UGAGUGAAAUUCCUGAACUAUCCUUUUUGCAGGAUUCACUUAUGAUUUUAUUGUUUUGAAGUGAUUCCUGAACUAAGUUCUAAAGCAGGAAUUGCCGGUUUUAUCUUAUGUGGUGUUAGAGAUGUUGAGUAAAUUUUGAGAAUUACUCAUACGAGCUUUUUAGCUUACCGGGUUUGUUGUUUACAACCCGGUGCACCAAUUCAUGGUGUAGGGGUUAGACUUGCAGGUGUUGAUCAACAGGGUUGAGGCAGAGGCAUAGUGGCUGGGGUUUAGAUGAUGUACAUUUUAUUUGUAUAUUAUGUAAGUUGUUUUAAGCUCGUGUGAGCAUCUUCUUUUUACUAGACUUUUGAAGUUGUAAAUAAAGAGAUGUAAUGUUUAACUCAGUCAAUGAGUUUUGUUGACAUUUACAUUUCCAGCAUUUAAGUUUAGUAGGGAUUUGUUGACCAGGUCAUGUAGUCUUAUUUGUGAGUUAUAUCAUGCCCAAAUUUUUGAAAUUUAUCCUUCGAAAAUUGGGGCGUGACAUAAAAAGAGGUAAAAAAUAGUAAAUAUAUAUUAAUUAUAUUAAAUAACGGAAUAUUUCAUAAAUUAAGGGCAUUUUAGACAGUCUGGGAUAUGUAUUAAGUAUAAUAUUGAAAUGAAAAACUUGAUAGGUAGUGUAUUAAGUAAGGGGUGUGUACUAAGAUAUUAGGGGUGUGUAUUUAAAAUUUCUCUUUUGAUUUUAGCUUAAUUUUAACCUAUAUAUGAAAACACCUUUUCUCUCACCCCAUAAUACAAUUGUUUUAUCAAAGCUAUUUAAACGAAAAAUUCAAAGAUUGU